rnacentral:rRNA from 1 species
AUGGACAGUGUUGGUGAGGGACGGGAGCAGCCGAUGUUGGAGGAGAUCAGCAGCCACAAGGAGCAUCACUUCACGGCCGGAGAGGUGGUGCGGGACGUCAUCAUGGGCGUGUCCGACGGCCUUACCGUGCCCUUCGCCCUCGCCGCGGGGCUCUCAGGUGCGAGCGCUCCAUCCUCGCUCGUCCUCACCGCCGGCCUUGCCGAGGUCGCAGCAGGGGCCAUCUCCAUGGGACUCGGGGGGUACCUGGCGGCUAAGAGCGAAGCAGACCAUUAUGAGCGGGAGUUAAGAAGGGAGCAAGAGGAGAUUAUCGCGGUCCCUGAAAUUGAGGCUGCUGAGAUCGGAGAGAUCAUGUCGCAGUAUGGGCUCGAACCCCAUGAGUAUGGCCCUGUGGUGAUGGGCUUGCGUAGGAAACCGCAAGCCUGGCUCGAGUUCAUGAUGAGGUUUGAAUUGGGCCUCGAGAAGCCAGACCCUAGAAGAGCCCUGCAGAGCGCUCUCACGAUAGCGCUCUCCUAUGUUGUCGGCGGGCUGGUCCCACUCAUGCCCUACAUGCUCCUUCCCACUGCUCACGACGCAAUGCUCACAUCGGUCGUGGUCACGCUUGCCGCGCUCUUCUUUUUUGGCUAUGUCAAAGGCCGCUUCACUGGAAGCCGCCCACUCUUCAGUGCUCUCCAGACUACUUUUAUCGGUGCCGUUGCUUCUGCUGCAGCAUACGGAAUCGCCAAAGUUGUGCAAGUUUGA